rnacentral:rRNA from 1 species
AUUGAACGCUGGCGGCAGGCCUAACACAUGCAAGUCGAACGAGUGGCGGACGGGUGAGUAAUGUCUGGGAAACUGCCUGAUGGAGGGGGAUAACUACUGGAAACGGUAGCUAAUACCGCAUACCAUCGGAUGUGCCCAGAUGGGAUUAGCUAGUAGGUGGGGUAAAGGCUCACCUAGGCGACGAUCCCUAGCUGGUCUGAGAGGAUGACCGGCCCCACUGGAACGUAGACACGGUCCAGACUCCUACGUGAGGCAGCAGUGGGGAAUAUUGCACAAUGGUCGCAAGCCUGAUGCAGCCAUGCCGCGUGUAUGAAGAAGGCCUUCGGGUUUUAAAGUACUUUCAGCGGGGAGGCGUUACCCGCAGAAGAAGCACCGGCUAACUCCGUGCCAGCCGCCGCGGUAAUAC